ACAGCAGUAGCCACGGUAAUACAGAGGGUGCGAGCGUUAAUCGGAUUUACUGGGCGUAAAGCGUGCGUAGGCGGCUUUUUAAGUCGGAUGUGAAAUCCCUGAGCUUAAUUUAGGAAUUGCAUUCGAUACUGGGAAGCUAGAGUAUGGGAGAGGAUGGUAGAAUUCCAGGUGUAGCGGUGAAAUGCGUAGAGAUCUGGAGGAAUACCGAUGGCGAAGGCAGCCAUCUGGCCUAAUACUGACGCUGAGGUACGAAAGCAUGUGGAGCAAACAGGAUUAGAUACCCCCGUAGUCCCUGUCUCUUAUAC
rnacentral:rRNA from 1 species